rnacentral:rRNA from 1 species
GGAAUAUUGGACAAUGGGCGAAAGCCUGAUCCAGCAAUGCCGCGUGAGUGAUGAAGGCCUUAGGGUUGUAAAGCUCUUUUACCAGGGAUGAUAAUGACAGUACCUGGAGAAUAAGCUCCGGCUAACUCCGUGCCAGCAGCCGCGGUAAUACGGAGGGAGCUAGGGUUUGUCGGAAUUACUGGGCGUAAAGCGCGCGUAGGCGGCUCAUCAAGUCAGGGGUGAACUCCCGGGGCUCAACCCCGGAACUGCCCUUGAAACUGGUAGGCUAGAAUCCUGGAGAGGCGAGUGGAAUUCCGAGUGUAGAGGUGAAAUUCGUAGAUAUUCGGAAGAACACCAGUGGCGAAGGCGACUCGCUGGACAGGUAUUGACGCUGAGGUGCGAAAGCGUGGGGAGCAA